ACCUUUUUGUACGUAAAAUUAGAUAGAAGAAAUAAAUGAGACAAUUGAUUAAUACAACGAAAUAGAAAUGAAUGAGGUGUUUCAUCUUCCAGAUCGGGUGGUGUAGUUUUAUCACCAUAUCUUAAUACAAUAUCAAAUUUUUUAAGGAUCUCUGUAAUGAUUUUUACUUCAUUAUCUGUAGCAUAUAAGCACCAGUAUUUCUGAAGACUAUCAUAGAAAGCCAAAUGAUUGUUAUUUACUACUAUUUGCAAUUUUGUUGAAACUAUUGUACUUGAUAAUGUAGUUUUGUUAGAAUCAUAAAGCACUAUGUUGUGAAUUUC